rnacentral:rRNA from 1 species
AUUGAACGCUGGCGGCAGGCCUAACACAUGCAAGUCGAGCGAGCGGCGGACGGGUGAGUAAUGUCUGGGAAACUGCCUGAUGGAGGGGGAUAACUACUGGAAACGGUAGCUAAUACCGCAUACCAUCAGAUGUGCCCAGAUGGGAUUAGCUAGUCGGGGGGGUAACGGCUCACCGAGGCGACAAUCCCUAUCUGGUCUGCGAGGAUGACCAGCCACACGGGAACUGAGACACGGUCCAGACUCCUACGGGCGGCAGCGGUGGGGAAUAUUUCACAAUGGGCGCAAGCCUGAUGCAGCCAUGCCGCGUGUGUGAAGAAGGCCUUCGGGUUGUAAAGCACUUGCAGCGGGGAGGCGUUACCCGCAGAAGAAGCACCGGCUAACUCCGUGCCAGCAGCCGCGGUAAUAC